UGAAGUGCAGGUAGUGGAGAGAGUAUGAAUUGCCUGAGGGGGAAAGAGAUGAGGUCAGUAUGAAUUGCUGUUCUAACCAAGAGUGAAUUCUCCCUUCUUCAAAAUCUGUAUCUAAGAAAAUGUCAAUACUCAAGGGAGCAUUCCAUGGAGUUAAUAUGAUAGACUGCCAAAGAGCUCUGAGAAUGGAUGCAGCUAUGCAAAUCAACUGUGCUUUGGAACAAAGGAUUAAAUUUACCAUCUUUUGUACCUCUCUACAAGUACAAGGACUUCUGUUUAAGCAGAGUAAUGACAGACAGCUCCAGUAGUGGAUUUUUGAGUUCUUGACAUAAAUGUGGAAGGCGAAGGGAUGAAAGGAGUGAAACAGAAAGCAGCUGAAUGGGAAUGUUUGCAAAGAAAGUGCCACAGCAUGAAGGAGAGUUUUGACAACCUGAACUGAAAGAAGAAAAAUGGAGACAGAGUUACUGUAGCAAAGAGCAACACUGUAGAACCACGUGUUGAGUGGGAAGAAUUUAACUUCUUGAAGAAUCUGAAGAAAAAGCAGAAAUUAUUAUUCUUACUUCAUUUUGCUGCCCUUUUUAUCAGAUGGAGAUGAAAAUCAAUUCAUUUUGCCUCCUUUAAUCCACUGGUUUCUUUUCCCACAUUUAGUCCAAUUUUUUUUCUUGACAUUCUAUUUUUUUAUCCAAGUGCUUUUGCACUCCUCAUUCCUGCCACUUCAGUCCACCACUACUGUCUCUAUACAGCAUUCAUCUGCAGCUUGAUUGUGUCAUCUCUUAGUUUCAUUUCAAAGAGGCUACACUACCAAUCUACAUUAGAUCACAACUCAGUAGUCCACACUCCUUCAGCUUAUCAGUGUCCUAUCUGACUUCUUAUUUUCCAAAAUGGAAUUGUAUACUGUCUUUAGACAGUCAUUAGUAAUCUCCAUCUCGGAGAGAUCUAGUCAACAGAAUCCUAUACCACUUCUGCUGAACAAAUAUAAGUACCUACUCUGGGAAGUGAUGAAUUGCAAAUGCUGUUGAGUCUUCAUCCUUGGAGAUCUUUGAAGUCUGACUGGACAUGAUCCCAGGCAACAUACUCUUAUGUGACCAUGUUUUGAACAAAGGUGUUGGACAGGAUUGAUUUGGAAUAAUAAUGACUUAGAAUUUUCUAAUAGUGCUUUUUGUGUAACCUUGCCAAAUGCCCUUUGGAAAGCUACAUAUGUGAUAUUAGCAGUUCUUUACACAUUUUCCUGUUAUGUUGAAGAAUUUUAAAGGCUCUGAUAUAUGCUGAGGAAGAAACCCAUUACUUGGGUGGUGUUUCCUUCCAUGGUGUUUGUCUGCCUGUGAGUUUUUAAACUAUGGCAAAUGUGAAACAUUUUCUUUUUCUUCUUGAGGAAGGCCUCAAAUAGAUUUAGUUGGCUACCUUUUGGAAUGAGAUGCACACAUCCAGGUCCAGAUAUUAUGCAUCAGCUGGUGUUUCUCUGAUAGUUAUGUGUGAAGGCUGACAGACUAAUGAGACAGCAUUGCCCUUAGAGAAUGAAACUGAUAAGUGCAUUAUGCUACAUGCUUUCACGUUUCUGAUUUUCUCUAUUCAAUGAUUAUUUCAACCAAUAUCCUAUGUCGAGCCUUGAGGUUUACUAGUAUUUAAUUCCAAGAAUCUCUCUUCAGUGUAGAUGCAAAAAAGUGCAAAUGUGUUCAAGAGUGCAGUAAAGAUUGGUAUGUAUCUUUGAAUAUUUCCAGUGACAAUAUAAUAGAAAAAAACAAAAACUAAUAAAAAACCAUCUAAUGGAAAAGAAACAGUAUUGACACUCAGAAGACGUGAGUCUCAUUUUCAGUCUGCUUCUGACUUGUCUGAGUUUCAGACAAUCACAGUUAGCAUUCCCUUAGGGUUCUAUCUAUCUACGUCUCUUAAGUCUAUACUUUUAAAUCCAGUAUGAUUUCUCUCACUGUCUGAAGCAUCAAGCAUCACUGGAUAGGAUGUUGAGUUGAGUUGGAUUAAUCUCUUACGUGAUCCAAAUAUCUUUAAUCAGAAACAAAUCACCAUUCUGAUUUUAAGACUCUCCCAUGAAGCUUGUUCAAAUAAAUACUCUC